ensembl:lncRNA TTBK2-AS1 TTBK2 antisense RNA 1
GUGGCCUAUACAAAAGCACUCCAUGUUUCUGCCGAUACUCUGUCCUUGGUUGCCUGAGCAAAAUUGUAUAAAGGGAGCUGCUUGGAGGGGAAAGGAACACAAUAAAACGCCUCUGGAGGGCCAAACCCCAAGUUACACAGCGCAACAGUACUUGUCAACCACUCCAUCUCCUCAGUGACACAGGUGCUAAAGUACCUCUCCCCUGAGGCAAAGUCCCGACACAUCUGUGAUUGAAUGCAACUAUAGAAGUAUUAGCAUAAAAAUAUGUGGCCUGGAAGGAAUCUCUGAAGAUACUGAAGAACCUCAAGUUCCCUACAUUGCUAGGAGCCAAGGGAAGGAGACACUGUACACCUAGAGCGCUGAAUUAGCAGCUGAGGUUUUAGUAUUUGAAAGCAAAUAAUAUAAAGCGAGUAAUGUCUACAGUG